GUUACAGAGGAUGCGACCUGUCUCGUCCAUCUGAGAAAGAGAGACAAGGGGCCCUCCAUGGGGCCACUCCUGAAGGCACACCCAGAGAGGCUCCGAACCUUAGGGCUCAGAACCAAGUACAGAGACUCAGGCUGUGAUGAGGACCAGGACUAAGUUGCACAAUGCUUGAACACUUGGGAUUAGCCAGAGUGUCCCCACCCCAGAAGUCUCUCUCCUGCCCUAGCAAAGGCAAGGUGAGGCAGGAUGGCUGGUACUAACCAUCUGAGGCAGCUCUCUUUUCAGGUAUGUGAAUUCCAACUGCUGGUUAGAGGGCCCACUGCAGAUGACGAGGGGUAGGAUGUUGUCUGGAGGGAUCACGUGACCUGGGGAGACCCAGAGAGAGGCUGAGGUUGAGUCCAGAAAGAGCACUGCCCAACCCUUGCUUUCCAGACUAGGAGUAGCUGUUUAUAUCACUUACCCACCCACCUAUUUCCACACUACAGCAGCAAUGCUCAGAACUCUCCCAGGUGGACAGAGGGGGCACAGAGCACGAGAGCACAGAGAUGGCGAGCUCAGAGAGAGCGGGCAAAGGAUGAGAUGUCCAUCCCGUGUCUCCUCAGCCCCUUACGCCUGCUAACAGCAUAUGGUUCAACUAUGACAACGCGGCCUGUUCCACCCUGGACAUGGAUCCUCACCACAGGAAAACUCCACCAGGCGCUCGGUUUCCACCCCAGCACAUGCCAGCAGCUGCUCCCGAAAGUCAGAAACCUGUGGACCACAACGUGAAGGCGCUGUGACCUCCCUGAGGUCCAGGGACAGGGCCUCAGGUCUGAGCAGGCAGGGGCCUUAAUAGAGAGAGGAAGAGAGAAUCGCUUGGAAAGACAGAAGUCUAGGUGAGGAAGCGAGCGGCAAGUACAUAAGAACAGAGAAGUAAAAAGAAAAGCUGAUAACAGAUUAGCGAAAAGGAUAAAAGAAUUAUAUGGUGUCCAAUGCUGGCAGUCCCAUUUAACUACUUGUGGGAAUAGCAAAGGAAAUUUGGCACAGUGGCUCUCAGCCCCGCAUAUGCAACAAAAUCACCAGUGGGAACUUAAAAAUAUAUAUUCACAUGGCCAGGGCCCAGCCUAAACUAUUGAAUAAGAAUCUCUAGUGCGAGGACUAUGCUUUUGUAUUUUUAAAAGCUCCAUUCAAGUUUUUUACCUAUCAAAUUGGCAAAAAUCCAAAAGUUUGACCACUCUGGAGAAACAGGCAUGUGUAUAUACUGCAGAUGGAAUACAGCACAGUACCUCCGCAGCCAGCGGGGAAUGGGACAAUAUUUAACAAAUCAGAUAUAUUUAGAUUUUCUAAUCUAGCAAUCCCAUAUCUAGUAGUCUCCCAAGAAGAUACAGCUCAACAAACCAAUUAACACACGCACAGGAUAUUUCUUGUGAAGUUGUUUAUGAGGGCUAGACUGCCUUCCCAGAGGGACUGGUCAACUGCGCUAUGCUGCAUCCACCCAACAGUAACCUGCACAGCCAACGAAAGGAACGCAGACCGUGCCUGUGUGCUGAUACGGAGUGAUCACCAGAGCAUACUGGUGAACAGAAACUGAGCAUGCCACCUUUGACGU